GCCCGAGUGGUGAAAUGGUAUACACGCGACACUUAAAAUGUCGUGGCCGUAAGGCCGUGUGGGUUCGAGUCCCACCUUGGGCACCA
rnacentral:tRNA from 4 species